rnacentral:rRNA from 1 species
UACGUAGGGUCCGAGCGUUGUCCGGAAUUAUUGGGCGUAAAGAGCUCGUAGGCGGUUUGUCGCGUCUGCUGUGAAAUCCCGAGGCUCAACCUCGGGCCUGCAGUGGGUACGGGCAGACUGGAGUGCGGUAGGGGAGAAUGGAAUUCCUGGUGUAGCGGUGGAAUGCGCAGAUAUCAAGAGGAACACCGAUGGCGAAGGCAGUUCUCUGGGCCGAUACUGACGCUGAGGAGCGAAAGCGUGGGGAGCGAACAGG